UCCCUGACUAAUCUCUACAACACUUUUUGAAUUUUUUGUCAUUUUAAUUCUCCACUAAAACCUUCAGUAAUGAAUAAAUUAAUCAUCAGAAAUAUAUUUCCUAACAGUUAGGCUUUAAAAAUAAGGAAAAAAUUUAAAUUACAAUAAAGGUGUGUGUGUGUUUAUAUCUGUGUCAAUUACUUGGUACUUAAAUAAGGCUUGUGAUCAGUAGUAGUGCUAGGUGUUUAUUGAAGUCACUAGAUAUUUCACCUAUGUAUUCUAGUAUGCUUGGCACCGGUAUUCUAUCUAGUGUUGCUUUCAUAGAGCCAGGGUAGAUACUAUUAAGGAACCUUGCUCAAUCUGUUGCUAACGGUUUUGCCAAAGCACCACUCUGGAUUGUGGCUUCAUAUAUUGACCUUAAAAGGAUGGAAAAAUUUACUUUGGCAGGAGCUGAACUUAGUGAGCAAAUCUUGUGAGGCAUUCUAACCAAUGCCCUGAUGAUUGCUAAAGUAUCAAGUUGAAUGAACUAUCAGCUGUAGGUGGUGAUAUAGUAUUUGAAUAUUUGAGUCCAAGACUGAAUAACGGCAUUAAUAUCAGGUACAUUUUGCAUUGAUUUGAUCACCUGUCCAAAUUAUACAUUGAUCUCAAUAUCUUCUUAGAGACAGUAACUUGAAAGCUGGUUGAAACUUCUUUGUAAUAAAUGUCAAUAACAUUGAUUUAGCAAAAGUUGUUGAAACUUAAAUGAUAGUGGGGUCUCAGCUGAUAGAUGUAAGUUUUAUUGAUAAGAGGGAAAGAGACUUGGUGAGGUGGGGUGAUCCUCAUCACUCAUCAACCCAGAAAAUGUUUAGAGUUUUGCUCUAAACAAACUUAUCUGGUUUGCAAAAUGUGUGUUUUAAGUUAACAUGCUGACUAAAUGUGGAUUUCACAACUUAUUUUGGGCCUUUAAGCAAAGUUGG